rnacentral:rRNA from 1 species
GAUGAACGCUAGCGGGAGGCUUAACACAUGCAAGUCGAGGGGCAGCACGAUGUAGCAAUACGUUGGUGGGCGACCGGCGCACGGGUGAGUAACGCGUAUGUAACCUGCCCUUUACCGGAGGAUAACCCGGAGAAAUUCGGACUAAUAUUCCAUAAAGAUACUUAGAGGCAUCUUUGAGUAUUUAAAGCUACGGUGGUAAAGGGGGGGCAUGCGUAACAUUAGCUAGUUGGGAGGGUAACGUCCUGCCAAGGCAAUGAUGUUUAGGGGACCUGAGAGGGUGAUCCCCCACACUGGUACUGAGACACGGACCAGACUCCUACGGGAGGCAGCAGUGAGGAAUAUUGGUCAAUGGGCGACAGCCUGAACCAGCCAUCCCGCGUGAAGGAAGAAAGCGCUAUGCGUUGUAAACUUCUUUUCCAGAGGGAUAAAAUGAUGUACGCGUACAUUACUGAAGGUACUCUGGGAAUAAGCAUCGGCUAACUCCGUG